UUUUAUCGCCUCUGGUGAGAGGUUGAGGUGACUGAGAAGAUGAUCUGCUGGUGUACCACCAGCAGUGUGGAGUCUCAUUAACUCCAGAAGAGCGGAGGAGGCAGAGAGAGCGAAAAAGAAAGAAUACAGAAGAAAGAGGGAGAGAGAGAGUGGACUCAUGCUGCAGAUUCUCUGACAGUCUCCACAUGGGCUUUGCAGUGCCCAGUGGAAUGUGGAGGAAACAUCAUAUACUGAAGACCCAGUGAAGAGUCAACUGACGCUCAGUUGUGACUGACGUCAGUAAUUCUGCAAGUGUAGGCAUGCAGAAGCAACAUAAAGAAACACACAAUCGAAUGCAGGCAGAAACACAAACACAAAACGUGAAUGCCUUUGCCGACCAGCUGCGCGCACCAGCAAAGGACAAGCAUCUACCGGCUGCGGGAGCCGAGGUGUUCUGUCCUGUGGUUCAUCCAUCCGACCCAUGGGCUCUUUUGGCUUGGCUCCACGUGGCACAAAAGGGCCGCAGCAUUCCUGAUGUCGGCAGCUAAUCUGCGGUGUCAGCUCGUGUUAAUGCCGCGCUGCCAAAUCUGAGGGCGCACAGGGCCGUGGAAUAUUAAAAACCCCACCAACGGAAUUCCUUCAGAGGACGGAGGAGGGCAGGGCACGGGCCGGUGAGGGGAUUAGAACAAGGCUUGGGAUCAGCUAAGAUUGAAUGCUGAGUGGUGGGCGGGCAGAGUUUACUGUAACGAAUGUGAG
ensembl:lncRNA